rnacentral:sRNA from 1 species
CUCUGCCUCAAAGAGCUUACGAUCAAAUAUGUCAGCUCUCAGUCUUUUUGGAGAAGUAGGAAAUAGGAAGAUAAAUCUGAGACUUAAAAAAACACAAAACAUUCAAGAACUUGAUGUCUUAAAAUUGUCCUACGAACAAAAGCUCUCUGAAAGCUCUGGCUUGGAAACUACUCUCAGAAUCCAGCUAACGCUCCAGGGAAGUGGCCUGAGUCAGGGAAGCUAAGUGGUAAAGAGCACAGGCUGGUAGUCCUGUGAUUGAAGCCAGAAUGACCAGCUGUGUAACCAAAGGCAAGGUGCUGAACCUUUCUCUGCCUCAAUUCUCUCAUCUGCAAAAUGGGAAAUAAUAAUGAUCCCAACCUCAGAGAACUGAACAAGAUAAUACAUGAAGGUGCAUAUCAAAGAGUCUCACAUGCUCUGCUGGAUCACACAAAAGUUGGGAAGAGAAGGAUGUCAAUUAGACUACAUCAAAAUCUGGGCAGAGGGAGGACAAAGAGCUGCCUAAAGAAACUGGUAGCUGGAGCAAACUGCAGAGAUCAAGAUGACCCUAGUCAACGGAACCAGCAGCCCAGAGCAGGGUGUAGGAAGUGUGCCCAGAAUAGCCAGAGAACUUAUUUCUAAGAGAAUUGAUCCUAAAGAAGAAAUUUCUAAAUUGUCAAAAAUGUAUACCAAGGAGGUUCACCAGUGUUGUUGAUAAUCAGA